GUCAGGAUGGUCGAGCGGUCUAAGGCGCCAGACUCAAGAUCAACUUCCCUCCACAAUAUGGGUGUUCUGGUCUCCACAUGGAGGCUUAGGUUCAAAUCCCACUUCUGACA